GGGUUGUGAGGUUAAGCGACUAAGCGUACACGGUGGAUGCCCUGGCAGUCAGAGGCGAUGAAGGACGUGCUAAUCUGCGAUAAGCGUCGGUAAGGUGAUAUGAACCGUUAUAACCGGCGAUUUCCGAAUGGGGAAACCCAGUGUGAUUCGUCACACUAUCAUUAACUGAAUCCAUAGGUUAAUGAGGCGAACCGGGGGAACUGAAACAUCUAAGUACCCCGAGGAAAAGAAAUCAACCGAGAUUCCCCCAGUAGCGGCGAGCGAACGGGGAGCAGCCCAGAGCCUGAAUCAGUGUGUGUGUUAGUGGAAGCGUCUGGAAAGGCGCGCGAUACAGGGUGACAGCCCCGUACACAAAAAUGCACAUGCUGUGAGCUCGAUGAGUAGGGCGGGACACGUGGUAUCCUGUCUGAAUAUGGGGGGACCAUCCUCCAAGGCUAAAUACUCCUGACUGACCGAUAGUGAACCAGUACCGUGAGGGAAAGGCGAAAAGAACCCCGGCGAGGGGAGUGAAAAAGAACCUGAAACCGUGUACGUACAAGCAGUGGGAGCCUCUUUAUGGGGUGACUGCGUACCUUUUGUAUAAUGGGUCAGCGACUUAUAUUCUGUAGCAAGGUUAACCGAAUAGGGGAGCCGAAGGGAAACCGAGUCUUAACUGGGCGUUAAGUUGCAGGGUAUAGACCCGAAACCCGGUGAUCUAGCCAUGGGCAGGUUGAAGGUUGGGUAACACUAACUGGAGGACCGAACCGACUAAUGUUGAAAAAUUAGCGGAUGACUUGUGGCUGGGGGUGAAAGGCCAAUCAAACCGGGAGAUAGCUGGUUCUCCCCGAAAGCUAUUUAGGUAGCGCCUCGUGAAUUCAUCUCCGGGGGUAGAGCACUGUUUCGGCAAGGGGGUCAUCCCGACUUACCAACCCGAUGCAAACUGCGAAUACCGGAGAAUGUUAUCACGGGAGACACACGGCGGGUGCUAACGUCCGUCGUGAAGAGGGAAACAACCCAGACCGCCAGCUAAGGUCCCAAAGUCAUGGUUAAGUGGGAAACGAUGUGGGAAGGCCCAGACAGCCAGGAUGUUGGCUUAGAAGCAGCCAUCAUUUAAAGAAAGCGUAAUAGCUCACUGGUCGAGUCGGCCUGCGCGGAAGAUGUAACGGGGCUAAACCAUGCACCGAAGCUGCGGCAGCGACACUAUGUGUUGUUGGGUAGGGGAGCGUUCUGUAAGCCUGCGAAGGUGUACUGUGAGGUAUGCUGGAGGUAUCAGAAGUGCGAAUGCUGACAUAAGUAACGAUAAAGCGGGUGAAAAGCCCGCUCGCCGGAAGACCAAGGGUUCCUGUCCAACGUUAAUCGGGGCAGGGUGAGUCGACCCCUAAGGCGAGGCCGAAAGGCGUAGUCGAUGGGAAACAGGUUAAUAUUCCUGUACUUGGUGUUACUGCGAAGGGGGGACGGAGAAGGCUAUGUUGGCCGGGCGACGGUUGUCCCGGUUUAAGCGUGUAGGCUGGUUUUCCAGGCAAAUCCGGAAAAUCAAGGCUGAGGCGUGAUGACGAGGCACUACGGUGCUGAAGCAACAAAUGCCCUGCUUCCAGGAAAAGCCUCUAAGCAUCAGGUAACAUCAAAUCGUACCCCAAACCGACACAGGUGGUCAGGUAGAGAAUACCAAGGCGCUUGAGAGAACUCGGGUGAAGGAACUAGGCAAAAUGGUGCCGUAACUUCGGGAGAAGGCACGCUGAUAUGUAGGUGAAGCGACUUGCUCGUGGAGCUGAAAUCAGUCGAAGAUACCAGCUGGCUGCAACUGUUUAUUAAAAACACAGCACUGUGCAAACACGAAAGUGGACGUAUACGGUGUGACGCCUGCCCGGUGCCGGAAGGUUAAUUGAUGGGGUUAGCGGUAACGCGAAGCUCUUGAUCGAAGCCCCGGUAAACGGCGGCCGUAACUAUAACGGUCCUAAGGUAGCGAAAUUCCUUGUCGGGUAAGUUCCGACCUGCACGAAUGGCGUAAUGAUGGCCAGGCUGUCUCCACCCGAGACUCAGUGAAAUUGAACUCGCUGUGAAGAUGCAGUGUACCCGCGGCAAGACGGAAAGACCCCGUGAACCUUUACUAUAGCUUGACACUGAACAUUGAGCCUUGAUGUGUAGGAUAGGUGGGAGGCUUUGAAGUGUGGACGCCAGUCUGCAUGGAGCCGACCUUGAAAUACCACCCUUUAAUGUUUGAUGUUCUAACGUUGGCCCCUGAUCGGGGUUGCGGACAGUGUCUGGUGGGUAGUUUGACUGGGGCGGUCUCCUCCUAAAGAGUAACGGAGGAGCACGAAGGUUGGCUAAUCCUGGUCGGACAUCAGGAGGUUAGUGCAAUGGCAUAAGCCAGCUUGACUGCGAGCGUGACGGCGCGAGCAGGUGCGAAAGCAGGUCAUAGUGAUCCGGUGGUUCUGAAUGGAAGGGCCAUCGCUCAACGGAUAAAAGGUACUCCGGGGAUAACAGGCUGAUACCGCCCAAGAGUUCAUAUC
rnacentral:rRNA from 1 species